rnacentral:rRNA from 1 species
CCUACGGGAGGCAGCAGUGAGGAAUAUUGGUCAAUGGGCGCGAGCCUGAACCAGCCAAGUAGCGUGAAGGAUGACUGCCCUACGGGUUGUAAACUUCUUUUAUAAAGGAAUAAAGUGAGGCACGUGUGCCUCUUUGUACGUACUUUAUGAAUAAGGAUCGGCUAACUCCGUGCCAGCAGCCGCGGUAAUACGGAGGAUCUGGGCGUUUUCCGGAUUUAUUGGGUUUAAAGGGAGCGUAGAUGGGUUGUUAAGUCAGUUGUGAAAGUUUGCGGCUCAACCGUAGAAUUGCAGUUGAUACUGGCAGCCUUGAGUACAGUUGAGGUAGGCGGAAUUCGUGGUGUAGCGGUGAAAUGCUUAGAUAUCACGAAGAACUCCGAUUGCGAAGGCAGCUUACUAAACUGCCACUGACGUUGAUGCUCGAAAGUGUGGGUAUCAAACAGGAUUAGAUACCCGUGUAGUC